UACGUAGGUGGCAAGCGUUUGUCCGGAUUUACUGGGCGUAAAGAGCGCGCAGGCGGUCGUUCAAGUCGCGUGUGAAAGCCCCCGGCUCAACUGGGGAGGGUCACGCGAUACUGAUCGACUCGAAGGCAGGAGAGGGAAGUGGAAUUCCCGGUGUAGUGGUGAAAUGCGUAGAUAUCGGGAGGAACACCAGUGGCGAAGGCGACUUCCUGGCCUGUUCUUGACGCUGAGGCGCGAAAGCUAGGGGGAGCAAACGGGG
rnacentral:rRNA from 1 species